rnacentral:snRNA from 1 species
CCUCCUGAAAAUAGAUCUC